rnacentral:lncRNA from 1 species
GGCCGUCGGGGGUUGACGGUGAACCCGUAUCGCCGUUUUGGCGUCAGAUUGUGCCGAGGGCACGUGACCUGUUGAUUGUUAGACCAGUUGGACCCUGUUACUUGACUUGGGCUUGUGAGAGCCGGAUUGAGCUCGACAGAGAUACGCUGCAUACUCGGUUGGAUAGCUCCCACGAGUGCCACUCCGGAGACGGGCGUUGUGCUUUCGCGUUGGUGUCGUUCGUGCAGGUUGGACUUGCUCUCCACGGACUGCUUAGUAUGGAGAUAGCUGUAUAGUCGCAACCGGACGGGACGGGUGUGUUCACAGUCCCAGGGACGGGUAUGCUUACAGUUCCAGUGAGAUUGGGUCAGGAUUGAUAUUUACUAUAGUUGGUUAGUGUAGAGCAUGAUAGUGUAGUGGCUUGUAGCUGUAGAUUUUCUUCCA